rnacentral:lncRNA from 1 species
CGCAUACUCAGCUUCAAAAGGCCCGAAAUGACAAUGUAAAACAAUGCAAACGAGAAAACUAGCGGCCUUAUUUAUGUACAAAAAUGAACGAAAAACAAAUAUAUAACACAUAAACAAACGACAACCACUGAAUUACAGGCUCCUUACUUAAAUAAAUGUUCAUAACAUACUAAAUGUAUGUUCAUAUUGAAAUUGAUAGAAAACCAAAAAUUGGGAACUUUGGAAAUAAAGGUGGAGGGUAAAAAAACAUUUUCCUGUCCCCAAUAACCUAUGACU